AGGGUUAAGGCUGAAGCAAGAGAGGAAGCUCCUGGACUAUUUACAGCCUCUGGCUUAGCUCCUCCCUCUUUCCUUUCCCCAGUAAGUUUCACUUUUGCUUUUCUACCUCAGGCCUGGGAGGUACAGCAAGCCUAACUGACUGACCUGAGACAGCAGGGGAUUCUGAUGGCAGAGGAGGAGUCAGGGGCAGCCUUGGAGCUCUGGGGACUGCUCCCUGAAAUACCAGAUGAGCUGCUUACUCUCUACUUUGAAAACCACCGUCGUUCUGGUGGAGGACCUCUAUUGAGCUGGCAGAGACUUGGCUGUGGGGGUAUCCUCGUCUUUCAAGAUCCCGCAGAUGCCAAGAGGGCCUUAGCCCAGACAGAGCACCGACUACAUGGUGUCCAACUGACCCUGAGGCCAGCCCCACCACGUGCCCCUGAACGUGUGCUUCUCCAACACCUGCCACCCGGCACUUCACCUCUGAGCCUAGAGCAACAUGUUCAGGCCCUACUGUGUGCAGCAGGGCACCCCGUGCAGACUUGCUGUGUCCUGGCCAGUCCUCGGCAGGACUGUGCCCUGGUCCAGUUAUCCAUGCCUCUUUCUGAGGCAGACGUCUGUGCCCUGGUGGAACAGGCCCGAAAUCUGCCCCUAAAUGGAGCCACCGUGUCCUUGGCCUGGGUGCCUCAGACCCGAGCAGUACGUGUGGUGGAUAGCCCUGCUUCUGUGGACCUGCUGUUGUUGGAACUCUACCUGGAAAAUGAGCGUCGCAGUGGUGGGGGACCCUUGGAGGGUAUGCGCAGCCUGCCCGGAAAACUGGGCACUGUUAUCUCCUUUCGGCAAUGGCAGGUGGCUGAACGGGUGCUGAAGCAGAAACACUGGCUACAGGGCUCAGAGUUGUGCCUUGUCCCCCACUAUGAUGUCUUAGAGCCAGAGGGCCUUGCGGAGGGCAUCAGUGGGGGGGAUCAUUCAGCUACACAAGAAUCUGGAGUCACUGAUGGUGCUCUUACAGAAGCUGGAGGGCUGGCUGCGUCUCUGACAGUGGCUGUAGGCUCUGGGGAGGCACCAGGACAAUUAGGAACCUUUCUAAGGGCAGGUCCGGUAGAGACUCCAGGACAAGCCAUGCCAGUUGACCCAGGAUCUGUGAGGUCUCCGGAGCAAGAAGAGCCUAUAAAUUCAGGAACUAUGGGAUCUCCAGAGCAGACUGGUUUCAUAAGACAGGGGAUUAUGGGGUCUGCAAGCUCAGGAGAUCCAGUAGAAAGCUUUACAGAGCGCCCAGAGCAAGCAGGACCCAUGACCACAGACUCAGUGGGUGUUCAGGAAUGUGAGGGCCUGGAGGAAGUGGCCAUUGGCUCACCAGGGCAGGAGGGGACAAGGGGUCUAGUAGGGACAGCCAUGGAGUCUGUAGAGACAGGGCUGGAGAGCCCUGGGUACGGGGAGAUGCAAAAGCACGAGGACCUGGUAGAAAUGGUGCUGUCAAUGGAGCCAGGGGCCAUGCGCUUCCUGCAGCUCUAUUACGAGGACCUUCUUGUCAGCCUGGAAGACGUUGCCCUUUUCCCACUUGAAGGAGUAGAUGUGACUGGCUUUCGGCUUUGCGGAGCCAGGGCCCCCUGCCAGGCAGCCCAAGAGUUGCUGCAGAGUCUGCUGGGCAGCGUCAGCUGUCACAUGCUCAACAUGAAGCAUCCAGGCAGUGCCAGGUUCCUGCUGGGUGUGGAGGGGCAGCACCUUCUUCACAGACUGGAGGCUCAGUUCCAGUGCGUCUUCGGGACAGAACACCUGGCCAGUGCCACCCUGGUCAUAGACCCUGAAAGGACAGAUCCCACCGAGGCCCUCCAAGUCCUCCACGCCCACAGUACAGGCAUCAAUCAAGAGAGCAUGAGACUGGAGGAAGUCCAAGAGCUGCUGGCUACCCUGGAGGGCCUAGAGGACAGGGUGCCUCUGGAGAUGGAGGAAGAGAAAGCUGGAGAGCCAGAAGAGACUGUUCUAGAGCGGGAGGAGGAAAUCCCCACACUUGAGGCUGAGGAGGAGCCUGGGGCACCUGGGCAGUUAGAGGAAGAAGCCACACUGCAACUGGCUAUCCACCGGUCCUUGGAGUCCCAAAGCCAGGUGGCUGAUCAGCAGGAGGCUAAUGCGCUAAGGCAAGCCAUGGCCCUCUCCUUGUUAGAAGCAGAAGAGCCCCUGGAUGAGGACACUAGGGGCAGGGCCCAGCUGGUGGUGCACACAUCCUUUGAGCAGGACAUGGAUGAAUUGAACCAGGCAUUAUCAGAUGCCUUGGAGGGACACCUUCAGGAGGAGACAGUGAGUCUCCAAGGGUGUAUGCUGCCCUCAGAGCUUGCGGCUCGUCUGGAGAGGUGUUAUGAUGUGAGCGUUACCCUACAUGGCGACCAUGCUGGCCUCCGUGGCUUUGGAGUCCAGCCUGCCCGUGCGGCUCGCCACUUAUCUGCUCUGCUUGUUGGCCCCCAGGACCAGAAUUUGACCUUUCCUUUGGAGGCCUCAAAAAACAACCUGUCAGAGCAGGGGCUGAAAGAACCCUUGGGCAGGCUGGAGACCUUGGAAGAGAAUUCCAAGGAGUUCCAAGAUGUGGUGCGGGCCUUUUAUGACACCCUGGAUGCUGCUCACAGCAAGAUCUGCAUUGUUCGAAUUUAUGAAGACAUCGCUCUUCUGCCACCUUGAUGUGGGUGGGUUCUGGGGCCUGAAUUCAGGUUCUAGGCUUGCACAGCAAUGGCCUUUUCUUCCUGGGUGAUCACUGUCUCCCCCACCCCUCACUUUCUUGGAAAGUUAGAACAAUCAUCGUCCUUUUUUUUUUUUUUUAAGAUUAAAAAAAGUGUGUUGUGUGGUGGGGGCAUGUGUGGCUGGGUGGGACAGAGGAUUAUGUGCACAUGAAUUCAGGUGACCGUGGAGGCCUUUGUUCCCUCUGGAACUGGAAUUACAGACAGUUUUGAGUCACCUGACAUAGGUGCUAGGAGUCAAGCUUGGGUCCUCUGCAAGAGCAGUAUACACUCCUAACUGCUGAGCUAUCUGUCCAGCCCCACGCUUGAUGCUUUACCAACAUCCAGUAUAGGCAUUGAGAAACCCAGGGUGGAAUUUCUUCUAGUUUGUACCUUCAUACGACCUCGCAUGUGUUUACUUGCAAAGGUUUUUUGUUUUGGGUUUUUUUUUUUUUCCACUUCAGAAACUACGGUUUUCUGUUAGAUGCCAGGGGCAUGUCUUUCCCAGUGUCCUUGGCACUUCAUGGUUCUCUCCAUCUGGUGAUACAGCCUCCGGCUCAGGGACACAUUGUCCACUUUGUUCCCAGGUGCACCGCCUUCUUAUGAAGCAGAGCUUAGACCUUCUCCGUCUGCUUCAUGUUCUUGCCUGUCCUCUCAUGGCUGCUUUCUCUGGCCCUUCAGCUCUGUUCUCAGUGCCCAUUUCUUAGAUCUAUCUAAAGUACUAUGUCUGUGGCUCUAACCACUUCAUUAUCUAGCCAUUCUCAGUAAUCCUUUCCUCCUCCUCUGCUAUUUCUUCUCUUCCUUCUCUUCCCCUCUCUUUUUCUCUCAUCUAUCUAUUUCAUCUAUCUAUCUAUCUAUCUAUCUAUCUAUCUAUCUAUCUAUCUAUCUAUCUAUUGUUUUUUGAGACAGGGUCUCUCUGUGUAGCCCUGGCUGUCCUGGAACUCCCUCUUAGACCAGAUUGGCCUCAAACUCAGACAUCUGCCUGCCUCUGCUGGGAUACAUGGUGUGCGCCACCACCCGGCUUUUCCCUUUCCGUUUUUAUCCUGGGGGAUUCAUCCCACUUGCUAAGCAGGCACUCUGCCUUCCGAACUGCCUUUCCAGCCUUGAAAUCCCAUCCUAAAUGUCCUGUUUCUGAUGGCCAGACUUUUUCAUAGCAGGUACUUUUUGUUUUCUGGAUGUGGUGUUCGUCUGCCUCCUAAAAGGCCAGUUAGUGUUUCUUUAAUAGUUCUGUUUGAAACCCCGAGUUUGUCCCUUCGAGGACAGCAGUUGGUUGAAGUCUUCUCUGCUGUCUGAACCUUCCAGUGCUGACCGGCAAUAUAGGCUCCUGGCUUGACUUUUUACUGCUGAAGCCUGACUAUGGUCCUGAGUUUAGGUAGAACGUGUGUCACACCCACUGCUGCAACAGCAAUACCAGCUGCAUCGGGAGCGCUUGAUGCAACGCUGCCAGCAACAGCCGGUGGAGCAGGUCCUCUAUCACGGCACCUCAGAGUCUGCAG